rnacentral:rRNA from 1 species
UACAGAGGGUGCAAGCGUUGUUCGGAAUCAUUGGGCGUAAAGGGCGUGUAGGUGGCGCCGUAAGUCAGGUGUGAAAUUUCGGAGCUCAACUCCGAAACUGCAUUUGAUACUGCGGUGCUUGAGGACUGGAGAGGAGACUGGAAUUCACGGUGUAGCAGUGAAAUGCGUAGAUAUCGUGAGGAAGACCAGUGGCGAAGGCGGGUCUCUGGACAGUUCCUGACACUGAGGCACGAAGGCCAGGGGAGCAAACGGG